ACGCUGGCGGCGUGCCUAACACAUGCAAGUCGAGCGGGGAACUAACGAUGUAAGUUUUCGGAUGGAUUCGUUAGUUUCUAGCGGCGGACGGGUGAGUAACGCGUGAGCAACCUGCCUAUCACUGGGGAAUAACGCAGCGAAAGUUGUGCUAAUACCGCAUAACGUCAUUUGAGGGCAUCCUCGAAUGACCAAAGAUUUAUCGCUGAAGGAUGGGCUCGCGUCCGAUUAGAUAGUUGGUGGGGUAACGGCCUACCAAGUCGACGAUCGGUAGCCGAACUGAGAGGUUGAUCGGCCGCAUUGGGACUGAGACACGGCCCAGACUCCUACGGGAGGCAGCAGUGGGGAAUAUUGCACAAUGGGCGAAAGCCUGAUGCAGCGACGCCGCGUGAAUGAAGAAGUAUUUCGGUAUGUAAAGUUCUAUCAGCAGGGAAGAAGAAUGACGGUACCUGACUAAGAAGCACCGGCUAAAUACGUG
rnacentral:rRNA from 1 species